GAUGAACGCUGGCGGCGUGCCUAAUACAUGCAAGUCGAGCGAACGGACGAGAAGCUUGCUUCUCUGAUGUUAGCGGCGGACGGGUGAGUAACACGUGGAUAACCUACCUAUAAGACUGGGAUAACUUCGGGAAACCGGAGCUAAUACCGGAUAAUAUUUUGAACCGCAUGGUUCAAAAGUAAAAGACGGUCUUGCUGUCAUUUAUAGAUGGAUCCGCGCUGCAUUAGCUAGUUGGUAAGGUAACGGCUUACCAAGGCAACGAUGCAUAGCCGACCUGAGAGGGUGAUCGGCCACACUGGAACUGAGACACGGUCCAGACUCCUACGGGAGGCAGCAGUAGGGAAUCUUCCGCAAUGGGCGAAAGCCUGACGGAGCAACGCCGCGUGAGUGAUGAAGGUCUUCGGAUCGUAAAACUCUGUUAUUAGGGAAGAACAUAUGUGUAAGUAACUGUGCACAUCUUGACGGUACCUAAUCAGAAAGCCACGGCUAACUACGUG
rnacentral:rRNA from 1 species